GCUAGCUACAGGCUUAACACAUGCAAGUCGCGGGGUAACGACGGAAGAAAGCUGGCUGUUUCCGGGCGACGACCGGCGCACGGGUGAGUAACGCGUAUCACACCUGCCCUAUACAAAGGCACAGCCCGGCGAAGGUCGGAUUAAUGCCUUAUGAAGUGAGAAGAAGACAUCUGAUUUUCACUAAAGCUGAGGCGGUAUAGGAUGGGGGAUGCGUCCAAUUAGGUAGACGGCGGGGUAACGGCCCACCGGGCCGACGAUCGGUAGGGGUUCUGAAAGGAAGGUCCCCCACACUGGAACUGAGACACGGCCCAAACUCCUACGGGAGGCAGCAGUGAGGAAUAUGGGCCAAUGGGCGAAAGCCUGAACCAGCCAAGUAGCGGGAGGAAAGACGGCCCUAUGGGUUGUAAACCUCUUUAGUCCGGGAAUAAAGUGGGCGACGGGUCGCCUAUUGCAUGUACCGGAAGAAUAAGGACCGGCUAAUUCCGGGCCAGCAGCCGCGGUAAUACGGAAGGCCCGGGCGUUAUCCGGAUUUAUGGGGUUAAAAGGGAGCGCAGGCGGCCGUGAUAAGCGGGCAGUGAAAGACGGUGGCUCAACCAUCGAGGUGCUGUCCGAACUGUCGGACGUGAGCACGUGCGAGGCAGGCGGAAUUCGUGGUGUAGCGGAGAAAUGCUUAGAUAUCACGAAGAACCCCGAGUGCGAAGGCAGCUUGCCAGUGCGCCACUGACGCUAAAGCUCGAAAGUGCGGGUAUCGAACAGGAUUAGAUACCCUGGUAGUCCGCACGGAAAACGAUGGAUGCUCGCUG
rnacentral:rRNA from 1 species